GUGGGGAAUCUUCCGCAAUGGACGAAAGUCUGACGGAGCAACGCCGCGUGAGUGAUGAAGGUCUUCGGAUUGUAAAGCUCUGUUAAUCGGGACGAAAGAGCCUAGUGUGAAUAAUGCUAGGAAGUGACGGUACCGGAAUAGAAAGCCACGGCUAACUACGUGCCAGCAGCCGCGGUAAUACGUAGGUGGCAAGCGUUGUCCGGAAUUAUUGGGCGUAAAGCGCGCGCAGGCGGAUCUGCCAGUCUGUCUUAAAAGUUCGGGGCUUAAACCCGUGAUGGGAUGGAAACUACAGAUCUAGAGUAUCGGAGAGGAAAGUGGAAUUCCUAGUGUAGCGGUGAAAUGCGUAGAUAUUAGGAAGAACACCAGUGGCGAAGGCGACUUUCUGGACGAAAACUGACGCUGAGGCGCGAAAGCCAGGGGAGCGAACGGGAUUAGAUACCCGAGUAGUCC
rnacentral:rRNA from 1 species